UACGUAGGGCGCAAGCGUUGUCCGGAAUUAUUGGGCGUAAAGAGCUCGUAGGCGGUUUGUCGCGUCUGCUGUGAAAACUCGAGGCUCAACCUCGGGCUUGCAGUGGGUACGGGCAGACUAGAGUGCGGUAGGGGUGACUGGAAUUCCUGGUGUAGCGGUGGAAUGCGCAGAUAUCGGGAGGAACACCAAUUGCGAAGGCAGCUUGCUGGGACGGUACUGACGCUGAGGCGCGAAAGCGUGGGGAGCAAACAGG
rnacentral:rRNA from 1 species